CCUANGGGUGGCAGCAGGCGCGAAAACUUUGCAAUGCACGCAAGUGUGACAAGGGAAUCCAAAGUGCUUAGUUUACUAAGCUUUUGCCAAGAGCAAAUAUCUUGGAGAAUAAGUGGUGGGCAAGACUGGUGCCAGCCGCCGCGGUAACACCAGCGCCACAAGUGGCAAUCUCGUUUAUUGGGCCUAAAGCGUCCGUAGCUGAUUAAGUAAAUCUCUUGUGAAAUUGUUAGGCUUAACCUAACAGCGGGCAGGAGAGACUGCUUGACUAGGGACCGGGAGGAGUCAGAGGUAUGCUAGGGGGAGCGGUAAAAUGUUAUAAUCCCUAGUAGACCACCUGUGGCGAAGGCGCCUGACUAGAACGGGUCCGACAGUGAGGGACGAAAGCCAGGGGAGCAAACCGGAUUAGAUACCCGANUANUC
rnacentral:rRNA from 1 species